rnacentral:sRNA from 1 species
AACAGAAAAACCAAAGAUAACAGUGGUUUAAACUAAAUAGGAGUUUUUCUUCUUACAUAAAAUAAGUCUAGAAGUAGGUGGUGUCCAGGUUCCUAUCUUUCUGCUCUGCUAUCCUCAGUGCAUGAUUUUUAUCCUCAGAUUACCUUACUCUCACUGUUCAAGUUUGCUCCUGGAGGCAGUGGGGAAGGCAAGAAAACUGGACUUUCUCUGCUUGAGUUAGCUUCCCUGAGGCCAUUUUCCAGAACCAGCAGCACCUGAACUUAUGUCUCGACCAGAACUGGGUCACACUGAUGGCCACACCUAGCUGCUAGGGAGGCUAAGAAGUCCAUGUGGCAAUGUGAUCAGCUAAAAGUUGGAUUCUUUUACUAAGGAAGAAGGGAAGAGGGAAUGUUUGGUAGGCAACUUUCAAUUUUAACCUCAGCCAGCCUUGUUGGCUACCUAAAUUCUGUGCACCUUCUUCUUCCGAGAUAGAAAACACUCACCCCUCUCUCUCUGAAGAGAAACCACCAGAAAUCCAGCCCAUUAUUGCAUAUUAGAUGAAAGACCGUGCUAUCUGGAGACAGUCCCCUCCAUCAUGUUAGGGUGUGGCUCCUUGUGUUCUGGCCACCUACAAACUGAAAGACAAGUUUUCUGCCCCGAGAGCACCAGAUGCAUAAUGCAAAGGUGCAGGAAAACUGACCUUUUAAAUUUUUUAGAGACAGGGUCUUACUCUGUUGUCCAGUCUAGAGUACAGUGGUGUGAUCAUAGCUUACUGCAGCCUUGAACUCCUGGGCUCAAGUGAUCCUUCCACCUCAGUCCCCCUAGUAACUAGAACUACAGGCACAUGCCACGAACGCCUGGCUAAACAUUUUUUUUGUAGAGAUGGAGUAUUGCUAUGUUGCUCAGGCUGGUCUUAAACUCCUGGUCUCAAGCAAUCUUCUCACCUCAGCCUCCCAAAGCACUGGGAUCACUGGUGUGAGCCACCAUGCCCAAGAUCCCUAAAAUUGACCUUUUAGAAAGAGGGAGAAAUAGAAUAUAGUGGGCACUGAUCCAUAGCAAUUUGAAAGUACCACUUGGCAAAAAUAAUUGAAUCUCUCUGCUAUAGUUCAUGAAUAUAUUCCUUGGUUUGCCCAUCAGGCAACCCCUGAUUCACCUUUCUGAGAGGAAUUCCUUUAUCUAAUGUCCUCAGGGGGCCUUGGUUUUACUUUCUGGGAGGUUUUUAUUGUACAUUAAUUUUCAGACACAAUCCGAAUGGGCAUUGGAAAGUAUACCCUUCUUGGAGGCUGUGCAGCCUUAGCAGUUUACUUCCUAUAAUUGUGAGUCUAGGGGCAGGCUUGGGAAUUAGAGUAUAGAUCCGUAACAGCUACAGGCUAUUGCAGGCCAGGUUUGGGUUUUUGUUGUUGUUUUGUUCUGUUUCUUGGCCAAGUGGAUUCCUAAAAAUUUAGUAAGUUUCUGAUCUGUUGUCUUCAGUCAUUUCCAUGGACAGUUUUAACCAAGGUAAAAUACAUUGUUUUUAACAAAGAACAUCAUCAUUUACUUGCUGGCCUCUGUGUGCUCUUCAUCCCCUUUGUUCUUACAGGAAUGGUACCUCCUUGAGAUCCUUUGAGACUGUAGGCUUACGUGGAAUGGCAACAGUCUUAAUCUGAUCUCUUCCCCUAGGAUGGCUCCUAUUAUUUGGCAGAAAAUUCUUAAGGGAAGGUUCUUAAAAAAGGUUGAGAAAGUUUUAGUAGCUCCCUCAGAGCCUUUACUUAUAAAUGUUUCAGUUUGGAGUACAGUACUACUUGACUUUUUCAAUUCUUCAGGGCUACAGAUUUGGGACUUGGUCAAUUUAUAUGGUAGACAAAGAGCAAUUCUCUCAGCAAAGCUAUUUUUCCCUUGCAUCACUGCAGACUUGUUGAUCUCAGUCCAAGUCAUAUAUCUCUUGUAGGGCUUUGCUGAAAAGAGGCAAGAAGCAGCCAACACAUGCUAGCACUCUGAAGUUCUACCACCUUCGUCUCUGGCAGGAAGUCUCAACCUCACCUUGACUUCUGUUGGCAAGAAGUCUCACUGCCCAAAGCCCUACCUCCUCAACUAAGCCAACCCCAGAUUUAGGGCCUUUGACUUGCUGCGCCUUACUUCUAGCUGCCAAAUUCUGUAUAGGUCAAGAUUCUUGGCUACAGGCAAUGAAAUCUUCUUUAGCUAUUAAACAGAAGGGAAUUGAUGAAUGAGUAUAUAUAGAUCACAGAAUCAAUGGGAGGGUUGAAGAAACAGAUCUAGGCUGAGCUUCUAGGAAUUAUGUCACAAGAGUAGGCUGCUGAAGGAGCUGCUGCUUUUAGAACAAUCAAGAAGCUGCCUGCUGGAUUAGGAAGCUGCCUGCUGAAUAGUCGCCAGUUCCAGAGCCACACCACCUCUGCCAUGCUUUAUGCCAGCAAAAAUAGAUACAUCUCUCCUGCCUCUGUCCCCACGUUACUUGGCUCUGAGUAAAAGUCUCAACCGUGAAGUACAAUCAAGAAGAAAUUGAAAAAGAGCCAGAGUUAGAUGAUGAGCUUCAUCGUUUGUCAUGCAGGAUUUUUAUCCCCUGAAGAACCUGCUAGAGAAGUCCACCUUCACCCUUAACCACUGGUGCCUCAACUUAAUACUUUUAAAAUUCAUUUGUUUCUGUUGGAAUUGGGAUACUAAGUAGUGCAUGGUUUCCACACUUUGGUGCAAGAUGUCUGCUCAAGCUCUAGGCAUUACAUCUGCUAUCCUGCUGUCAGAAAGAAGGAAGGGGAAAAGAUCAUUUCCUUCCCUUUAAGGAUAUUUCCCAGAAGUCACACAGAACAUUUCCAUUUAUAUUACUUUGGUCAGAACUUGGUCAUAUGGCCACAUUUAGCUCCAGAGUGAUUAGGAAAUGCAGUCUUUUAUUGAUCCCUGUGCCCAGGAAAAAACUGGAGGCUUUUUUCAAGGAAAAAGGGGAAAAUAGAUAUUGGUUGACAAAUAGCAGUCUCUGCCAUACUGUCCCUGGAUACAUGUCUUUGAGUGAAUGUCCCUUAUUUACCAUUCUGAUUACUUGUUGGAUAUUUUCAAUAUGUGUUACAAUAUGGUUCCAAAAUUGUAUGUGAUAUUCCAACAGCAAGUUGGAUGCAAUGUGUAAUAUAAAUGACCUCAGUGUCAACCAGCAUUUGAAUACUGUGUCUCAAUGCUGUGUACCAAUAAAGAACACAGAAAGUCAGAGUUUUCCAU